CGCGUAUACAAUCUGCCUUUAAGCGGGGAAUAGCCCAUGGAAACGUGGAUUAAUACCCCAUAGUAUGUAGACUUCACCUGGAGACUACAUUAAACAUUUAUGGCUUAAAGAUGAGUAUGCGUCCUAUUAGUUAGUUGGUAAGGUAACGGCUUACCAAGACGGCGAUAGGUAGGGGUCCUGAGAGGGAGAUCCCCCACACUGGUACUGAGACACGGACCAGACUCCUACGGGAGGCAGCAGUGAGGAAUAUUGGACAAUGGAGGCAACUCUGAUCCAGCCAUGCCGCGUGCAGGAAGACGGCCCUAUGGGUUGUAAACUGCUUUUAUACGGGAAGAACCACAUCUACGUGUAGAUGCUUGACGGUACCGUAUGAAUAAGGACCGGCUAACUCCGUGCCAGCAGCCGCGGUAAUACGGAGGGUCCAAGCGUUAUCCGGAAUCAUUGGGUUUAAAGGGUCCGUAGGCGGGAUAAUAAGUCAGUGGUGAAAGUCUGCAGCUCAACUGUAGAAUUGCCAUUGAUACUGUUGUUCUUGAAUUAUUAUGAAGUGGUUGGAAUGAGUAGUGUAGCGGUGAAAUGCAUAGAUAUUACUCAGAACACCUAUUGCGAAGGCAGAUCACUAAUAAUAUAUUGACGCUGAGGGACGAAAGCGUAGGUAGCGAACAGGAUUAGAUACCCUGGUAGUCUACGCCGUAAACGAUGGUUACUAGCUGUUCGGCUCGAUUGAGAGCUGAGUGGUUAAGCGAAAGUGAUAAGUAACCCACCUGGGGAGUACGUUCGCAAGAAUGAAAC
rnacentral:rRNA from 1 species